rnacentral:rRNA from 1 species
AAAUGCAGAAAAAGCAUUUGAAAAAAUCCAGCAUCCCAAUCCUAUCUGAUCUCAGAAGCUAAGCAGGGUCGGGCCUGGUUAGUACUUGGAUGGGAGACCACCUAGGGAGACCUGGUACUGUAGGCA